GUUGUCUUCGGACAACCACCAAUGCUCAGUGGGUCUGUGAUGAGCGCUUUCGGGUGACCC
rnacentral:misc_RNA from 1 species